CUCCGGGCAGAGCGCGUGUGGCGGCCGAGCACAUGGGCCCGCGGGCCGGGCGGGCUCGGGGCGGCCGGGACGAGGAGGGGCGACGACGAGCUGCGAGCAAAGAUGUGCCCCGGGACCCCCGGCACCUUCCAGUGGAUUUCCUUGCGGAAAGGAUGUUGGCGGUCCCUGUGACCUGUGGAGACACGGCCAGAUCUGCCCUCCAGACCAUAGCUGUCUGCAGUGCAGGAAGCCAACUAUUAAGGGGAAACAAAAGUGUUCUUAGGAGUCCUGCUGUCACUGUGGAUUGAGCCGGUGAAGCCCUGAGGGAUUUCAUCGCUGAGGUGGAUGGAGAAGCAGCUGGGGGCCUUGGCUGUAAGGACCCCUAAGGGCCUGAUCUUUUGGCCAGAAGGAGAUUAAAAAGAUGCCCCUCAAGAUGGCUGUGCCUGUCAGCUGCAUGGAGCUUCGUUCAAGUAUUUUCUGAGCCUGAUGGAUUUACAGUGAUCUUCAGUGGUCUGGGGAAUAACGCUGGUGGAACCAUGCACUGGAAUGACACACGCCCGGCACAUUUCAGGAUACUAAAAGUGGUUUUAAGGGAGGCUGUGGCUGAAUGCCUCAUGGAUUCUUACAGCUUGGAUGUCCAUGGGGGACGAAGGACUGCAGCUGGCUGAGAGGGUUGAGAUCUCUGUUUACUUAGAUCUCUGCCAACUUCCUUUGGGUCUCCCUAUGGAAUGUAAGACCCCGACUCUUCCUGGUGAAGCAUCUGAUGCACGUUCCAUCCGGCGCUCAGCUGGGCUUGAGCUGACCAUACUCCCUGGAGCCUUCUCCCGAGGUGCGCGGGUGACCUUGGCACAUACAGCCAUCAUGAUGGUACUUUAAGUGGAGGCUGAAUCAUCUCCCCUUUGAGCUGCUUGGCACGUGGCUCCCUUGGUGUUCCCCUUUUACUGCCAGGACACUGAGAUUUGGAGAGAGUCUCACUCUGUGGUCCAGGCUGAAGUACAGUGGCAUGAUCCCAGGUCACUGCAACCCCCACCUCCCGGGUUCAAGUGAUCCUCCUGCCUCAGCCUCCCGAGUAGCUGGUAUUACAGGCGUGUGCCACAAAGCCUGGCUAAGUUUUGUAUUUUUAGUAGAGACGGGGUUUCACCAUGUUGGCCAGGUUGGUCUCGAACUCCUGACCUCAAGUGAUCCACUCACUUUGGCCUUUCAACGUGCUGGGAUUACAGGCGAGAGUCACCGCACCCGGACGACUCUGACAUUUUUGAAGAGUCCAGAAUCCUGUUACACCUGGGAUUUAGGCACUUUCAAUCUGAAAAAAUACAUAUCCUUUCAGCACUCUGGACGGACUUGAGAACUGUCCUUACGUGACCUAAAGCUGGAGUAUUUUGAGAUUGGAGAAUUAAGAGCCAGUCUUGGUGCUCUGUGUUCACCUGGUUCAUCUGAGGAGCUGCAUCUACCCUGCCCAUGCCAUAGAUCCUGCCCUGUUUGCUUCUCCUGUUGCUGCUAGUGGACAUGAGAAGGACAGAAUAACGGGCUCCCAGAUUCACAAGCCCCACCAAGAGGAUCACCCCAGGAACGCUUGGAGGCUGAGGAGUUCACUGAGGCUACUGCAUCUUGAGACUCAGGAUGAAGACCCAGCUUGGGGCUGUCAAAGGUUUUUUGCAUGUCUGACACCCAUGACUCCACCUGGACCUUAUGGCUCCACCCAGAAGCAAUUCAGCCCAACAGGAGGACAGCUUCAACCCAUUACGAUUUCAUCUCUGCCCCAACCACUCAGCAGCAAGCACCUGUUACCUGUCCACCCCCACCCCUUCCCCCAAACUGCCUUUGAAAAAUCCCUAACCUAUGAGCUUUGAAUAAGAUGAGUACGAACUUCAUCGCCCACGUGGCGUGGCCGGCCUCGUGUCUAUUAAAUUCUUUUUCUACU
rnacentral:lncRNA from 1 species